rnacentral:rRNA from 1 species
CGGACGGGUGAGUAACACGUGGGCGAUCUGCCCUGCACUUCGGGAUAAGCCUGGGAAACUGGGUCUAAUACCGGAUAGGAGCCAUUUUUAGUGUGAUGGUUGGAAAGUUUUUCGGUGUAGGAUGAGCUCGCGGCCUAUCAGCUUGUUGGUGGGGUAAUGGCCUACCAAGGCGGCGACGGGUAGCCGGCCUGAGAGGGUGGACGGCCACAUUGGGACUGAGAUACGGCCCAG